GGACCGCAGCCCAAGGAGCUGCCUGGACUCUGGCUACCCUGCUGGCGUAGGCUGGCACCACUGCAUCCUGUCCUAGCCUCCUGCACGACAGCCCCCGAGGACAGCUCUGGUGUCCAUGAGCAGAGAGGGUGACUGAGCCAAGCCCAGGCUGAGCCCUGGCCCAGCUACGUGCCCUCACCCUGCCCACCCUGAGUUACCACUCAGCCCUUUCAACUGGAUGUUGCGUCCCCAAAUAUGAAAACAGCGAAUGUCCACCCCGGCUCUGCCUGUCAGCAAGCUGCGAGGAAGCCUCUGACUGCGUGCAGCCCUGCAUCUGACUGGCCCUCCAGGUCCAUCCCUCACAGCUGGGUGCGGGUGCCAGCACUGUGCCAUGCCCUGCACUGGCACAGAUGUUUGGUUUAAUAGA